UACAGAGGUCUCAAGCGUUGUUCGGAUUCAUUGGGCGUAAAGGGUGCGUAGGUGGCGUCGUAAGUCGGGUGUGAAAUUUCGGAGCUUAACUCCGAAACUGCAUUCGAUACUGCGGUGCUUGAGGACUGGAGAGGAGACUGGAAUUUACGGUGUAGCGGUGAAAUGCGCAGAUAUCAGGAGGAACACCGGUGGCGAAGGCGGGUCUCUGGGCCGAUACUGACGCUGAGGAGCGAAAGCGUGGGGAGCGAACGGG
rnacentral:rRNA from 1 species